GGGGUUUUGCCAUGUUGGCCAGGCUGGUCUUGAACUCCUGAUGUCGGGUGAUCCGCCCACCUCGGCCUCCCAAAGUACUGGGAUUACAGGCGUGAGCCACUGUGCCCGGCUGCAAUGUGUACUCUUGAAGGAUAUUGCCACGGUUUCUACGGGACUGAACAAAGGGGGACCCACACAGGAAUGAAAACUUAAAACAAAACAGCCACUAAGGAAGGCGCAGAGGGACUUCCUUUCGGCCCGAAACAGUAUCUGUGCUGCCAAAAACAGUAAGCUAACAGAUAAUACCACAAUGAAUAACCUGGUUGUUUUCCUUGUGACUCAAAUGAGGAAGAAUAAACUUGGUUUAGGACUAUUCAAUGCCAGUGUUUUCAGAUGGCUCCACCAGCAGAGAACAGAGAAGGGGAGAAGAGGAAAAGCAGCUGGACGUCGGGGACUGCGGUUUGACGUCGGAGAGAAGCAGCUUGACUUCAGAGGGACAGCUUGACCGCUUUGCUUUGGAGAGGAGUCUGGCUGGGGAUGGCUGGACUCCAGGGGAAGAUCGUCUUCCUGUUCCAUCCCUUUUCCAGCUCCCCUCCCACUGAGAGCCACUUUCAUUGGCAAUAAAAUCCUCCAUAUUCACCACCCUUCAAUUCGUUCAUGCGACCUGAUUUUUCCUGGAUGCCAAACAAGAGCCCAGGUGCCACAGGUGUGGAUACUAAAGGCUGUCACACUGACCCUUUGCCCUUGCUGGCAGAGAGCAACCACUUCAUGCAAAAAGGCAGAGGGCCCACUGAGGUAUUUAACACUUAAGCUGUCCGUGGACAGCCAAGCUAAAAGAACACUGUAACACACUCCCUCUGGGGCUUCUGGGGUCCCUGGUAUUCCUGACGAGACACUGUCAUGGGGCCUGCAGGGAGUUUUGCUCCUGCCAACACCCAAAAGCACUCUUUCUGGCUCCUGCACCCGCUCACCUGCGUGCUUCCCCUUCCCUCAAGGGCUUGAGAGCUGCAGGCUGAGUAAGUAGGCACCCUUGUCACGAGGUCCAAAAAGGGAUCAAGGAAAAUUUCCUGUUUCAGUGCUUUGGCAAAAACUUGAGUCAAUGAUACAGAAAAGUUAUGAGAGUUGAAAUCCUUGUCUAGUUCCCACUCAUAAUUCACUGAUUUUUAUUUCUGUAGUUUAUAAUCUGAGGUUAAUUCUAUCCAAUAAUAUUUUCAUUGUAGUAAUUGGGUAAUUUUUAUAUUUAGAUAUUGCUUUUGGUUUCUUUUUUGUAACGUCCAGUUCUCCAUUUUUUUGGUACAUAUAAAUAAAUAUAAUAACUCUUUUAAUGUUAUUAUUUGAUAAUUUAAUCAUCUCUGUCAAUUCUAUGUUUCUAUUGACUAUUUCCCCCCCAAUCGUAAGUCUAAUUUUCUUGUUUGUAUGUGCAGUAGUUAAAAAAUUCAAAUUAAAAAUAUUGCAAAUUUCUGGCCAGGUGUGGUGGCUCAUGCUUGUAACCCCAGCAUUUUGGGAGGUGGAGGCAGGCAAAUCACUUGAGGUCUGGAGUUCUCCAGCCUGGCCAACAAGGUGAAACCUGUCUCUACUAAAAAUACAAUUAG
rnacentral:lncRNA from 10 species